rnacentral:rRNA from 1 species
AGCGAACGCUGGCGGCAUGCCUAACACAUGCAAGUCGCACGGGGGGGCUUCGGCCUCCCAGUGGCGGACGGGUGAGGAACGCGUAGGGACCUGUCGAGGGGUGGGGGAUAACCGCGGGAAACUGCGGCUAAUACCGCAAGACGCCGCGGCGUGACAGCCGGGGCCAACGGCGACAGCCGCCCGCCGGGGGGCCUGCGGCCGAUUAGCUGGUUGGCGGGGUAGCGGCCCCUCAAGGCGUCGAGCGGUAGCUGGGAUGAGAGGGUGAGCCGCCACUCCGGGACUGGGACACGGCCCGGACUCCUACGCGAUGGAGCAGUGCGUAAUAUUGGCCAAUGGGCGGUAGCCUGAUCCACCAAUGCCUCGUGGGUGCAUAAGGUCUGCGGAUUGUAAAGUCCUUUCGGCGGGGACGAUGUUGACGGUACCCGCAGAAGAAGCCCCGGCUAACUUCGUG